rnacentral:rRNA from 1 species
CCUACGGGAGGCAGCAGUAGGGAAUUUUGCGCAAUGGGGGAAACCCUGACGCAGCAACACCGCGGGAAUGUUAAGCCCUUCGGGGUGUAAAGUUCUGUCAAUAGGGACGAAUUUUGACUGUACCUAUAAAGGAAGCACCGGCUAACUCCGUGCCAGCAGCCGCGGUAAUACGGGGGGUGCAAGCGUUGUCCGGAAUCAUUGGGCGUAAAGCGUUCGUAGGCGGUAUGUCAAGUCUGAUGUUAAAGCCCGGGGCUCAACUCCGGUUCGGCAUUGGAUACUGGCAAACUAGAAUGUGGUAGAGGUAAAGGGAAUUCCUAGUGUAGCGGUGGAAUGCGUAGAUAUUAGGAGGAACAUCAGGGGCGAAGGCGACUUACUGGACUGUAACUGACACUGAGGCACGAAAGCGUGGGGAGCAAACAGGAUUAGAUACCCCGGUAGUC